GCCUGAGUGGCGGAACUGGCAUACGCGCACGACUCAAAAUCGUGUGGAGCAAUCCUUGUGGGUUCGACUCCCACCUCAGGCA
rnacentral:tRNA from 1 species